rnacentral:rRNA from 1 species
CGUAGGGUGCGGGCGUUAAUCGGAAUUACUGGGCGUAAAGCGUGCGCAGGCGGUUUCUUAAGUCAGAUGUGAAAGCCCCGGGCUUAACCUGGGAACUGCGUUUGAAACUGGGAGACUUGAGUGUGGCAGAGGGGGGUGGAAUUCCACGUGUAGCAGUGAAAUGCGUAGAUAUGUGGAGGAACACCGAUGGCGAAGGCAGCCCCCUGGGUUAACACUGACGCUCAUGCACGAAAGCGUGGGGAGCAAACAGGAUUAGAUACCCUGGUAGUCCACGCCCUAAACUAUGUCAACUGGUUGUCGGGGGAUUAACUCCCUUGGUAACGAAGCUAACGCGUGAAGUUGACCGCCUGGGGAGUACGGCCGCAAGGUUA